GAUGAACGCUGGCGGCGUGCUUAACACAUGCAAGUCGAGCGAUGAAGUUUCCUUCGGGGAACGGAUUAGCGGCGGACGGGUGAGUAACACGUGGGUAACCUGCCUCAUAGAGUGGAAUAGCCUUCCGAAAGGAAGAUUAAUACCGCAUAAUGUUGAAAGAUGGCAUCGUCAUUCAACCAAAGGAGCAAUCCGCUAUGAGAUGGACCCGCGGCGCAUUAGCUAGUUGGUGGGGUAACGGCCUACCAAGGCGACGAUGCGUAGCCGACCUGAGAGGGUGAUCGGCCACAUUGGGACUGAGACACGGCCCAA
rnacentral:rRNA from 1 species